GAGUUUGAUCGUGGCUCAGAACGAACGCUGGCGGCAGGCCUAACACAUGCAAGUCGAACGCCGUAGCAAUACGGAGUGGCAGACGGGUGAGUAACGCGUGGGAACGUACCUUUCGGUUCGGAAUAACCCGGGGAAACUCGGGCUAAUACCCGGAUACGUCCGCAAGGAGAAAAGAUUUAUCGCCGAAAGAUCGGCCCGCGUCGGAUUAGCUAGUGGUGAGGUAACGGCCCACAAGGCGAUGAUCCGUAGCUGGUCUGAGAGGACGACCAGCCACACUGGGACUGAGACACGGCCCAGACUCCUACGGGAGGCAGCAGUGGGGAAUAUUGGACAAUGGGCGAAAGCCUGAUCCAGCCAUGCGCGUGAGUGAAGAAGGCCUUAGGGUUGUAAAGCUCUUUCAGCGGGGAAGAUAAUGACGGUACCCGCAGAAGAAGUCCCGGCUAACUUCGUGCCAGCCGCCGCAGUAAC
rnacentral:rRNA from 1 species